GUGUCAGCAGCCGCGGUAAUACGGAGGAGGCAAGCGCUAUCCGGAAUUAUUGGGCGUAAAGCGUCCGUAGGUGGUUGUUCAAGUCUUCUGUCAAAGCGCGGAGCUUAACUCCGUAAAGGCAGAGGAAACUGAGCGGCUAGAGUGCGAUAGGGGCAGAGGGAAUUCCCAGUGUAGCGGUGAAAUGCGUAGAUAUUGGGAAGAACACCGGUGGCGAAAGCGCUCUGCUAGGCCGAAACUGACACUGAGGGACGAAAGCUAGGGGAGCGAAAGGGAUUAGACACCCCUGUAGUCCUAGCUGUAAACGAUGGAGACUAGGUGUGGCCUGUAUCGACCCGGGCCGUGCCGGAGCUAACGCGUUAAGUCUCCCGCCUGGGGAGUACGCACGCAAGUGUGAAACUCAAAGGAAUUGGCGGGG
rnacentral:rRNA from 1 species